rnacentral:rRNA from 1 species
AGCGAACGCUGGCGGCAGGCUUAACACAUGCAAGUCGAGCGGGCGCACCGGGGGCAGCGGCGCACGCGGGAGUAAAGCGGGGGAACGUGGCUUCUUGCCUGGAAAAACACUUGGAAACGAGGGCUAACAUCGGGAACGUUCCUUUGGGGCAAGGUAUACUGCCCGAAGAACGGCCCGCGUCUUUUUAGCUUGGUGGGGGUGUAACGGCCUACCACGGCGACGCUCGGUAGCGGGUCUGAGAGGCUGAUCCGCCACACUGGGACUGUGACACGGGCCAGACUCCUACGGGAGGCAGCAGUGGGGGAUAUUGGCCUAUGGGCGCAAGCCUGAUCCAGCCAUGCCGCGUGAGUGAUGAAGGCCUUAGGGUUGUAAAGCUCUUUUAUCCGGGACGAUAAUGACGGUACCGGAAGAAUAAGCCCCGGCUAACUUCGUG